GGAAGGUUGGGCACGGGCACGCCAAGCAGUCCCGAAAACUGUCGGGGCGAAAGCCUCUGUGGGUUCAACUCCCACACCUUCCGCCA
rnacentral:tRNA from 1 species